rnacentral:rRNA from 1 species
GACGAACGCUGGCGGCGUGCUUAACACAUGCAAGUCGAACGAUGAAGCCUUAGCUUGCUUUGGUGGAUUAGUGGCGAACGGGUGAGUAACACUUGAGCAACGUGCCCAGGACUCUGGAAUAACCGCGGGAAACCGUGGCUAAUACCGGAUAGGUGCCGAGGCCGCAUGGUCUUCGGUUGGAAAGUUUUUGCGGUUCUGGAUCGGCUCACGGCCUAUCAGCUUGUUGGUGGGGUAAUGGCCUACCAAGGCGACGACGGGUAGCCGGCCUGAGAGGGUGACCGGCCACACUGGGACUGAGACACGGCCCAGACUCCUACGGGAGGCAGCAGUGGGGAAUAUUGCACAAUGGGCGCAAGCCUGAUGCAGCAACGCCGCGUGGGGGAUGACGGCCUUCGGGUUGUAAACCUCUUUUAGUAGGGAAGAAGCGCAAGUGACGGUACCUGCAGAAAAAGCACCGGCUAACUACGUG